AGCCCCGGAGUGUCACACGCCAAAAUGCAAGUUUGGAGAAGCACCCCAUAAGGUGCCGGGGCUU
rnacentral:tRNA from 1 species